GGGAAUGCUGUCACUACCAAAUGACACCUGUUUUCCAUGGGUCUCUUCAGCCUACAGGAAAAAUGGUCUUUCCCCUAGCUCAGCUGCAGGCAGGCAUCUCCUGGGGCCAGUGGAUCAGAAAUUCUGCCUGAGCAGAAAAGAAGACUUUGAAUGUUUGUCCAGGGUGUACUGAUGUCCAACGGCCUGGUCAGGGCAGCAAUUUCUACAAGAGCUCUGGACACCCAGGAAUGCUGAAGGCAGUCACUGAGCCUACACUCAAGGGCUGGGCUGAAGAUUCCCAUGGAUUCUGUGUGCACAGCAAAGGGGAUCUGGACACAUGCAAAAGGGAAAUCUGAGGGAGAAAUACAGAUGCCUUAAUUAUACUUUCCUGAUAUUUUUCCAUUGCAUUUCACCUCCCAGCAGUAUUGAAAGGCUGAGAUGCUCAGUAGGGUUCUUCAGAUGUGAAAAAGUAUCAGAUCCCUCCUCCAUCACGACAUGCAGCCACACAGGGGCAGGUGCUGCCACAAGGGAUGGAGGUUGUGCAUCCCCUCCCACAGCAGCCUGUUUGGAUCUGCUUGAGCCCACUGAAAAUUCUCACCUUCCUAUCUCCAGCCUCAGAAACAGCCAACAGCACAGCCCUGAAGCUGCACAGUGGGCAAAGGACCCAGCCUCCGGCGGUGCUUUUAGGGAAGUGAAAAGGUUGUGGGCCCAGUAAAACAGAUGAAACUUGAAAAGCAGAACUGGGAAAACACCAUUUUAUUUCCACGUAAGGUAAAUACGGGACUUCACUUAAUCUCUAGCAAUUUAAAGAAAGUUCAGAAGUACUGUGACUAAAAUAUGAAGACAUUGCCUUUUGCAAGUGGAAAAAUGCAAGUUAGAGAAACCUCUAACAUGUCACAGUGCCUAGGUAGGUUAUAGUAAAGAUAAAAUUAAGAUUGCAACUU